rnacentral:rRNA from 1 species
CCCUUAGACGUUCUGGGCCGCACGCGCGCCACACUGACCAGUGCAACAAGCAUCCGUCCUUGGCCGACAGGCCCGGGCAAUCUUUGAACGCUGGUCGUGAUGGGGAUAGACUUUUGCAAUUUUUGGUCUUCAACGAGGAAUUCCUAGUAAACGCAAGUCAUCAACUUGCAUUGAUUACGUCCCUGCCCUUUGUACACACCGCCCGUCGCACCUACCGAUUGAAUGGUCCGGUGAAGCCUCCGGAUUGGCGCGCACCUCGGUGCCGCCGAGAAGUUGGCUAAACCUUACCAUUUAGAGGAAGGUGAAGUCGUANCA